rnacentral:rRNA from 1 species
UACAGAGGUCUCAAGCGUUGUUCGGAUUCAUUGGGCGUAAAGGGUGCGUAGGUGGCGCCGUAAGUCGGGUGUGAAAUUUCGGAGCUUAACUCCGAAACUGCAUUCGAUACUGCGGUGCUUGAGGACUGGAGAGGAGACUGGAAUUCAUGGUGUAGCAGUGAAAUGCGUAGAGAUCAUGAGGAAGACCAGUGGCGGAGACGGGUCUCUGGACAGUUCCUGACACUGAGGCACGAAGGCCAGGGGAGCAAACGGG